UACGAAGGGGGCUAGCGUUGCUCGGAAUUACUGGGCGUAAAGGGCGCGUAGGCGGACGACUAAGUCGGGGGUGAAAGCCCGGGGCUCAACCCCGGAAAUGCCUUCGAUACUGGUCGUCUUGAGUACGGGAGAGGUGUGUGGAACUCCGAGUGUAGAGGUGAAAUUCGUAGAUAUGCGGAAGAACACCAGUGGCGAAGGCGACACACUGGCCCGUUACUGACGCUGAGGCGCGAAAGCGUGGGGAGCAAACAGG
rnacentral:rRNA from 1 species